AAUUCGAUUAGUUUGAUCCUGGCUCAGGACGAACGCUGGCGGCGUGCUUAACACAUGCAAGUGGAGCGACGAACCGGGGCUUGCCCCGGGGCAGAGCCGCGAACGGGUGAGUAACACGUGGGUAACCCACCUCGAUGAUUGGGACAACCCGGGGAAACUCGGGCUAAUACCAAAUGUGCUCGUAGACCAUGAGGUCCAUGAGGAAAGAUAGCUUCGGCCUUCGCAUCGAGACGGGCCCGCGGCCCAUUAGCUUGUUGGUGAGGUAACGGCUCACCG
rnacentral:rRNA from 1 species